rnacentral:lncRNA from 1 species
CAGGGCAGCCGCCCAUUGGGUGUGCUGCAUAAUGUGCCCCCUCCGUAUCUAGGGCCCGGUUCCCUGCGGAUUAAGCCGAUAGACCCAUAAUCCUUCAACUAGCUAAGCCUUGAAACAGACCAUUGUGGCUACUUCUAGGAAUCCCGGCGCAAGCCAUCAUGCACCUAGUCAUUCUAGGGCAGCCAAGCUCAUCCACGUCUGGAUAUUCGGAGUGUUGAGUUUAUCCUCCCUCCUUGGAGAGCACAGUUGGUCCCUUGGGGGGUGUAAUUUUCUUUUGAAGUGCAGAAAGAAAUAAGUUGUUGUAGACAUAUAUUAAAGCCAAAUUACAAAUUACUUUUGAAUUCUUUAUUGAAAAAUAAAAUGAGCGAAUAACUUGGUUGCAAAAACUGCAUGAUGAUUGGAUAGUCCUCGGUUUACGAGGUGGUGACCGUUGAGAUGCUCGAGUCUUCGGGUCUUGAUAUAGUGUGAAGUCACACAUGGUAUUUCCUCAAAUUGUAGGCGUUCCAUUGCUUCUCGAUCUCUUUAUCAUUCAUGGUAGCAAGAGUAUAACUGCCUUUGCCGCCGACUCUGUUGAUCUUGUAAGGACCUUCCCAUAUGGGGUCCAUUUUUUUCGAGCCUUCUCUGCGGGCAGUGAUGAAAGCUUUUCUUAGGACUAGGUCUCCGGGU